rnacentral:tRNA from 1 species
UCCUUGUUGGCUCAGUGGUAAAGAAUCUGCCUACAAUGUAGGAGACCCAGGUUCAAUCCCUGGAUUGGGAC